CCUACGGGAGGCAGCAGUGGGGGAUAUUGCACAAUGGGGGAAACCCUGAUGCAGCGACGCCGCGUGUGGGAAGACGGUCUUCUGGAUUGUAAACCACUGUCCCCAGGGACGAAAAUGACGGUACCUGGGGAGGAAGCUCCGGCUAACUACGUGCCAGCAGCCGCGGUAAUACGUAGGAAGCAAGCGUUGUCCGGAAUUACUGGGUGUAAAGGGAGCGUAGGCGGGGAUGCAAGUUGGGUGUCAAAACUACCGGCUCAACCGAUAGUCGCACUCAAAACUGCAGCGCUUGAGUGAAGUAGAGGCAGGCGGAAGUCCUAGUGGAGCGGUGAAAUGCGUAGAUAUUAGGAGGAACACCAGUGGCGAAGGCGGCCUGCUGGGCUUUUACUGACGCUGAGGCUCGAAAGUGUGGGGAGCAAACAGGAUUAGAUACCCGUGUAGUC
rnacentral:rRNA from 1 species